rnacentral:rRNA from 1 species
GACGAACGCUGGCGGCGUGCUUAACACAUGCAAGUCGAACGAAAAGGCCCUGCUUGCAGGGUACUCGAGUGGCGAACGGGUGAGUAACACGUGGGUGAUCUGCCCUGCACUUCGGGAUAAGCCUGGGAAACUGGGUCUAAUACCGGAUAGGAGCCAUUUUUAGUGUGAUGGUUGGAAAGUUUUUUCGGUGUAGGAUGAGCUCGCGGCCUAUCAGCUUGUUGGUGGGGUAAUGGCCUACCAAGGCGGCGACGGGUAGCCGGCCUGAGAGGGUGGACGGCCACAUUGGGACUGAGAUACGGCCCAGACUCCUACGGGAGGCAGCAGUGGGGAAGAUUGCACAAUGGGCGCAAGCCUGAUGCAGCGACGCCGCGUGGGGGAUGACGGCCUUCGGGUUGUAAACUCCUUUCGCUAGGGACGAAGCUUUUUGUGACGGUACCUAGAUAAGAAGCACCGGCUAACUACGUG